rnacentral:rRNA from 1 species
UACGUAGGUGGCAAGCGUUGUCCGGAUUUACUGGGCGUAAAGAGCGCGCAGGCGGUCGAUUUAGUCGCGUGUGAAAGCCCCCAGCUCAACUGGGGAGGGUCACGCGAUACUGAUCGACUCGAAGGCAGGAGAGGGUAGUGGAAUUCCCGGUGUAGUGGUGAAAUGCGUAGAUAUCGGGAGGAACACCGAUGGCGAAGGCAGGUCUCUGGGCUGAAACUGACGCUCAUGCACGAAAGCGUGGGGAGCAAACAGG